GACGAACGCUGGCGGCGCGCUUAACACAUGCAAGUCGAACGGAAAGGCCUGCUUUCCCUUGUGGAUUGCGGGUACUCGAGUGGCGAACGGGUGAGUAACACGUGAGUGAUCUGCCCCCAACUUGGGUAUAAGCCUGGGAAACUGGGUCUAAUUCCCGAUAGGACUGCAGGGUGGUGCCUGUGGUGGAAAACGAUUUUCUAGUGGUUGGGGAUGAGCUCGCGGCCUAUCAGCUUGUUGGUGGGGUAAUGGCCUACCAAGGCGGCGACGGGUAGCCGGCCUGGGAGGGUGGACGGCCGCAUUGGGACUGAGAUACGGCCCAGACGCCUACGGGAGGCAGCAGUGGGGAGUAUUGCGCAGUGGGCGGAAGCCUGAUGCAGCGACGCCGCGUGGGGGAUGACGGCCUUCGGGUUGUAAACUCCUUUCGACCGCGAGGAAGCCACCUGGUUGGAAGGGUGGUGACGGUAGUGGUAGAAGAAGCACCGGCUAACUACGUG
rnacentral:rRNA from 1 species